GCCUGGGUGGCUCAGUCGGUUGAGCAUCUGACUUCAGCUCAGGUCAUGAUCUCACAGUCUGUGAGUUUGAGCCCCACAUCGGGCU
rnacentral:tRNA from 1 species